AACACUGUUAACCUGCGGUACCUGCGGAGGGAUCAUUACCGAGUUUACAACUCCCAAACCCCUGUGAACAUACCUAUCGUUGCUUCGGCGGGUCGCCCCAGCGCCUUCGGGCCUGGACCCAGGCGCCCGCCGGAGGACCCAAACUCUUGUUUUUUUUUGAGUAUCUUCUGAGUAAACAAGCAAAUAAAUUAAAACUUUUAGCAACGGAUCU
rnacentral:misc_RNA from 1 species